rnacentral:lncRNA from 1 species
CUAUUGGUCAAAUAUUCUAAAAGAAUGCUCAUCUAUCAACAAAAAUUCUUGUUAUCUGAAUUUCUGAAUUACAAUCCCAAAUCUUCAAUAUUUCUCUACAAAAAUGACAACUUUCCUAAAAUAACAGUUUUUAGAAAAUUUAUUAAAAAAAUACAUUCUAAUGAUAAAAAAAUUCUAAAAAUGCUCAUCUAUUAAAAAAACUCUUGUAAUCCUUAUUUCUAAAUCAAAAUACCAAAUCUACAAUAUUUGUCUACAAAAAUGAUAACUUUCCCAA